CUCCCAUCUCAACAUCUGGAGUAGCUGGGACUACAGGGUGUGCACACCCGGGCUUUUUUUUUUUUUUUUUUUUUUUUUUUUUCCCUCAAUCUCCUGGGCUCAAGUGAUCCUCCUGCGUUGCUCAUCCAAGGUGCUGGUAUUACAAGGGUGAGCCACUGCACCCGGCCAUAAAGAUAUUCAGAUAUUCUUUUUGAAUAUCUGAGAGUUUCGCUCUUGUGGCCCAGGCUGGAGUGCAAUGGCAUAAUCUUGGCUAAAUGCAAUCUCCGCCUCCUAGGUUCAAGUGAUUCCCCAGCCUCAGCUUCCCGAGUAGCUGGAAUUACAGGCGCUUGUCACCAUGCCUGGCUAAUUUUUUUAUUUUUAGUAGAGACAGGGUUUCACCAUGUUGGCCAGGCUGAUCGCAAACUCCUGACCUCAGGUGAUCCGCCCACCUUGGCCUCCCAAACUGCUGAGAUUACAGGCAUGAGCCACCGCACCUGGCCCACAAAGAUAUUCUUUACAACAUUAUUCAUAAUAGAAAAAACUGAAACAAUGCAAAUGUCAAAAAAGAAAAAUUAUUAUAUGAUAGAUUAUUCCCUAGAAAUUAAGUUUUCAAAAAUAUUUAUUAAGAAAAAUUAACAAUGAUGUAGUUAAUGAAAAAAGCAGGAUUAAGAAAAACUAUGUACAUCUCAAUGAUGAUAAAAAUAUACAUGGAAAAUAAUCAGAGGGAAAUAUACCUAUAUUUAAUACUAGUUAUCGCAAAAUGGUGGGAUUACUGGUGAUUUCAAUUUUAUUUCUAUUAUUUUCUACUUUACAAAUCUUCACUAAUACACAUGAUUUUUUAAUUUUUUGAGACAGGGUCUCACCCUGCCGCUCAGGCUGGAGUGCAGUGGUGCAAUCACAGCACACUGCAGCCUCGACCUCCCGUGCUCAACCCAUCCUCCCACCUAAGCCUCCCCAGUAACUGGGACUACAAGUGUGCACCAUGCCUGGCUAGUUCUUAAAUUUUUUGUAGAGAUGGGGUGUUGCCAUGUUGUCCAGGCUGAUCUCAAAUUCCUGGGUUCCAGCUAUCCACCCACCUCAGCCUCCCUAAGUGCUGGAAUUACGGACAUGAGCCACUAUGCCCAGCUGAAUUAAUUUUAUUAUGAGAAAAAAAUUAGUUAUAAAAUGUUAUUACAAAAAAGUUAUGGUAAAUGUUUUAAUCCAUUACAAGAAAUAACAUAUUAAGGAACAAGAAUCAGAAUGGCAUAUUUUCCUCAAUAACAACCCUAGAGAUUAGAAGACAAUGAAGUCCGUGUGUGAAAAUAAAGUCUAAACCCAGCUAUCAAUUGAGUAUGAUGAUUCAAACAAAAAAAGACAUUGUCAUUCACACAAGGACCUCAAAAAAUGUCGCUCUCCAAGGCACCAUUUCUUAGGAAGCCAUUGGAGGAUGUGUUCCAGUAAAAUAAGAAAGGAAACCAAAAAAGAGGAAGAAAUGUGAUUCGGCAAACAAUGAAACCUAACCAGGAGAUUAGAGAAGGAAAGUCAUGGCAUCAUGGCUGUGCUCAGGCCCACAGAGUAAAAUCCAGACUGAAGCAAGGGAAUGAAGGACUUUGGGAGAGAAAAAAUGGGAGAUUUUUAAAGACUAAAGGAUCAUCUGAUACAGAUUUAGGCAGGAAAAAAACCUUGAUAAAUGAACACUGAAAAUUAAACGUAUGAAAAUAUAAGGAAGGUAUUAACUGUAGGAAAAAUAAAAUGCAAUACAAGAAAGAAAAUGUACCAAGAAUAUAGUACUUCAUGCUUUUGUAAACAUUUAGUAUCACGGUAAAGUAAAUGCUGAUUAUGCAUUUAGCUUAAAAUAUCAAUAUAACCAGAUUGGGAAGAUGAAAGGAGCAGGUAGGAAAGUGGUAUGAGAGAUGAAAUUUCAUCUAUCAUAUAACAGGAAAUCAACAACAUGUCUAAUAUAGAUAACUCGAGAUAAGGCAGUUUAAAAUUGUUUAGGAAAAUGGAAGUUACUAUCAGAAACAGCUAAAAGAGUUAAAGAGUUCCCUCUGGGAAAUAAGAGAGGUACAGAAGAGGGCUGCUCCUUUUCAAUAAAAGACUCUUGGUAUAUUUGAUUUUGAAAAGUGUGUGUGUGUGUGUGUGUGUGUGUGUGUAUAAAGGGUUAAAAAAAUUCUAGGCUGGGUGCGGUGGCCAUAAAACGUAUAUUUUAAAAAAAGAACUGGCCAGGCACGGUGAAUCAUGCCUGUAAUACUAGCACUUUGGGAGGCCGAGGCGGGAGAAUCACUUGAGCUCAGCAGUUUGAGACCAGCCUGGGCAACAUGGCGAAACCUCAUCUCUACAAAAACUUCAAAAAGCUAGCCAGGCGUGGAGGCGUGCACCUAUAGUUCCAGCUAUCUGGGAGGCUGAGGCAGGAGGAUCACUGGAGCCCUGAAGGUUGAGGCUUCAGUGAGCCAUAAUCAUGCCACUGCACUCCAGCCUGGACAAUAGACAGAGCCAGACCCUGUCUCAAAAAGAACCACUGGUUCUUUGGAAAGAUAAAAUAGAUGCCUCAGGCAAGCCUGGUUAAAAAGGAAAGAGAGAAAGUGAAAAUACACAAUAUUAGAAAGGAGGAAUAUACAGAAUAUAUAGAUAUGCAUACAGAAUGGAUACAGAAUGCAAAGAUAAAAAUAAUUCUAAGAGAACAUUUUGCAACUUAGGGGCAGUAAAUUGAAAAUCUAAAAGAAAUAAAGGCUGUAAUUCCAGUACUUUGGGAGGCAGAGAUGGGCGGAUCAUUUGAGCCACAAGGAGUUCAAGACCAGCCUGAGCAACAUGGAAAGACCCCAUUUCUACAAAAAUUAGCUGGGCAUAGUGGUGUGCACCUGUGGUCCCAGCUACUCGGGAGUCUGAGGCAAGAGGAGCACUUGAGCCUUAGGAGGUUGAGGCUACAGUGAAUCGUGAUGGUAACACCACAUUCCAGCCUGGGAGGCAGAGCAAGACUGUCUCAAAAAAAAAAAAAAAAAGACAGUUCUCCCAUGAGCUGGUCCAAACUGUUCCACCUUUAGAAUCAAAUUAUUUAUAAAAUAAAUAAGUGAAAUUUUAAAAAUACAUUAUUUCCUAGGAAACAAUUUGACAAUAUACAGUGAAAUCCAGAAAACCCAAGAACUCUAGUAAAGAAAACUAUUAGGCCGGGCAUGGUGGCUCACACCUGUAAUCCCAGCACUUUGGGAGGCCAAGGUGGGCUGGUCAUCUGAGGUCGGGAGUUCGAGACCAGCCUGAACAACAUGGAGAAACACUGUCACUACUAAAAAUACAAAAUUAGACAGGUGUGGUGGCGCAUGCCUGUAAUCCCAGCUACUCAGGAGACUGAGGCAGGAGAAUCGCUUGAGCUCGGGAGGCAGAGAUUGCAGUGAGCCAAGAUCGCGCCAUUGCACUCCAGCCUAGGCAACAAGGGCAAAACUCCGUCUCAAAAAAGAAAAGAAAAGAAAACUGAAUGCUCAAUAAAUAUUGGAUAAACAAAUGAAUGAGCCAAAAGACUAAAUGAAGGCUGGGCGCAGUGGCUCAUGCCUAUAAUCCCAGCACUUUGGGAGGCUGAGGCAGGCAGAUAACGAGGUCAGGAGUUCAAGACCAGCCUGGCCAACAUGGUGAAACCCUGCAUCUCUACUAAAAACUGCAAAAAUUAGCUGGGUGUGAGCCACUGUGCCCGGCUAUGAUAGGCAAUUCUAUGAAGAGGUAGUAAAAUAGAGAAUCUCCUGAAAAUAAAUUGUAUUGCAACCUACCUAUUUCUAUCCAACUUUUAGGACUGCCUUUUUCCUUACAGAUUCAGGGAAGCAGAGAGUAGAGAAGAGAAUGACUUAUACAGUGAUUAUUGAGAGACAUCAUCAAUGGCCCCUCAUCAAUGCUCAUUAUAUCUGCCUGUCACAAUUCCUAAAAUUUCCCCAUUAGAGAGUUAUUCCUUUGGCCGGGCACAGUGGCUCACACAUGUAAUCCCAGCACUUUGGAAGGCCAAGGCAGGCAGAUCACCUGCAGUCAGGAGUUUGAGACCAGACUGGCCAACAUGGUGAAACCUUGUCUCUACUAAAAAUACAAAAGUUAGCCGGGCGGGUGGUGAGCACCUGUAAUCCCAGCUACUUGGGAGGCUGAGGCAGGAAAAUCGCUUGAACCUGGGAGGCGGAGGUUGCAGUGAGCCGAGAUCACACCAUUGCACUCCACCCUGGGUGACAGAGUGAGACUCCA
rnacentral:lncRNA from 1 species